CCUGAAACUAGAAAAAUGCUUGUUUUGGCACCUUUUGGGCCCCUAAUUCCUAAACGGUUUGGACCAUCAUCCCCAAAAUAAAUCCCAACCUUCCUUUUAUGGUAUUGAACCUUCUGAAAAAAUUUCAUUAAGAUCUAUUCACUUAAACUAAAGUUAUUAUCCGGAAACCAAAGUGUCUUCGGACGACGACGACGCAGACGACGCAGACGACGCUGACGACGCAGACGACGCAGACGACGCAGACGACGACAUCAUACCAUUAUACGAACCAAAAAUUUGUUUGGGGUCAUAUAAAAAUCACUCACACUGAACCUCAACCCCAUUUAUCUCAUUGUGAGCUUUAUCCUUAGUAUGUAUUUUCAUGUGUCUCUGUAAACUACCAAGCUGACUAAACCCUUUACCACAUACAUCACAGUCAUGAGGUUUAUCCCCUGUAUGUGUUCUCAUGUGAAUCUUUAAAUUACAAUGCUGACCAAACCCUUUACCACACACAUCACAUAUAUAAGGUUUACUUCCAGUAUGCAUACUCAUGUGAAGCUGCAAAUGAUAAAGCUGACUAAACCCUUUACCACAUACAUAACAGUCAUGAGGUUUAUCACCUGUAUGUAUUCUCAUGUGUCUGUUUAAACUACCAUUCUGACUAAACCCUUUACCACAUAAUUCACAGACAUGAGAUUUACCACCUGUAUGUAUUCUCAUGUGUUCCUUUAAUACAUCAUAGUCAUGAGGUUUAUCAUGUUUAUCACCGCUAUGAAUUCUCUUGUGUCUUUGUAAAUUACCAAGGUGACUAAACUCUUUACCACAUACAUCACAGUCAUGAGGCUUAUCGCCAGAAUGUGUUCUCAUGUGUCUCUGUAAACUAGAAAGCUGACUAAACCCUUUACCACAUUCACCACAGUCAUAAGGUUUAUCACCUGUAUGUGUUCUCAUGUGAACUUGUAAAAGACCAAACCUAAUAAAUCCUUUACCACAUACAUCACAGACAUGAGGUUUUUCGGUUGAAUGUGUCCUCAUGUGAUCCCGUAAAUUACUGUGUUGACUAAACCCCUUACCACAAUCACCACAGUCAUAAGGUGUAUCACCUGUAUGUGUUCUCAUGUGUAUCUUUAGGUAACUACCUCUAGAAAAUCGUCUCUCACACAUAUCACAUUUAUGACGUUUUUCAGCUGUUUGCAUUCUUAUGUGUCUCAUUAAGUCUCUACUGCUACUAUUUUUUCUAGCACAAAUAUCCCAUUCCUGCAGUUUAUUACCAGCCUCUGUUCUUACAUGUCUGUGUAGCUUACCAUUGAUUGUGACUAAAUCCUCUGUUCUUGCAUGUCUGUGUAGCGUACCAUUGAUUGUGACUAAAUCCUCUGUUCUUGCAUGGCUGUGUAGCGUACCAUUGAUUGUGACUAAAUCCUCUACCACAUUCAUCCUAAUUAUAAGUCUUAUCUCUGUAAGAAACAACAAAAAAUAAUGACUAAACCAUUUUAAACAUACCCAGUAAAUUACCUUUAACACAUGUUUAAGCUAUCUAUGUUGAGUUCACUGUUUUGG
rnacentral:lncRNA from 1 species